CAGCAGCCGCGGGAAAACGGAGGGUGCAAGCGUUAAUCGGAAUUACUGGGCGUAAAGCGUGCGUAGGCGGUUCGUUAAGUCUGUUGUGAAAGCCCCGGGCUCAACCUGGGAAUGGCAAUGGAUACUGGCGAGCUAGAGUGUGUCAGAGGAUGGUGGAAUUCCCGGUGUAGCGGUGAAAUGCGUAGAGAUCGGGAGGAACAUCAGUGGCGAAGGCGGCCAUCUGGGACAACACUGACGCUGAGGCACGAAAGCGUGGGGAGCAAACAGGAUUAGAUACCCCCGUAGUCCCUGUCUCUUAUAC
rnacentral:rRNA from 1 species